rnacentral:rRNA from 1 species
AUUGAACGCUGGCGGCAGGCCUAACACAUGCAAGUCGAACGAGUGGCGGACGGGUGAGUAAUGUCUGGUACACUGCCCGAUGGAGGGGGAUAACUACUGGAAACGGUAGCUAAUACCGCAUACCAUCGGAUUUGCCCAGCUUGGAUUAGCUUGUAGGUGAGGUAACGGCUCACCUAGGCGACGAUCCCUAGCUGGUCUGAGAGGAUGACCAGCCACACUGGAAAUGAGACACGGGCCAGACUCCUACGGGAGGCAGCAGUGGGGAAUAUUGCACAAUGGGCGCAAGUCUGAUGCAGCCAUGCAGCGGUUAUGAAGAAGGCCUUCUGGUUGUAAAGUACUUUCAGCGGGGAGGCGUUACCAGCAGAAGAAGCACCGGCUAACUCCGUGCCAGCAGCCGCGGUAAUAC